rnacentral:rRNA from 1 species
CUAGCGACUUCAGAGUUUGAUCCUGGCUCAGGACGAACGCUGGCGGCGUGCUUAACACAUGCAAGUCGAACGAGGAUAUACCAGAGGAGAGCUUCGGCAGGAAUCAGGUAUAUUCGAGUGGCGGACGGGUGAGUAACGCGUGAGCAACCUGUCCCAGACAGGGGGAUAACACUUGGAAACAGGUGCUAAUACCGCAUAAGACCACGGUAUCACAUGGUAGUGGGGUAAAAGGAGCAAUCCGGUUUGGGGUGGGCUCGCGUCCGAUUAGAUAGUUGGUGAGGUAACGGCCCACCAAGUCGACGAUCGGUAGCCGACCUGAGAGGGUGAUCGGCCACAUUGGAACUGAGAGACGGUCCAA